rnacentral:rRNA from 1 species
GAAAGUAAAGAAGGGCGCAUGGCGGAUGCCUUGGCUCUCGGAGGCGAUGAAGGACGUGAUAAGCUGCGAUAAGCUUUGGGGAGGUGCAAAUGACCUUUGAUCCAGAGAUUUCCGAAUGGGACAACCCAAUAUCUUGAAGAGGUAUUAUCCAACGUUGUUGGAGGCUAACGCAGGGAACUGAAACAUCUUAGUACCUGCAGGAAAAGAAAAUAAACAAUGAUUCCCCCAGUAGUGGCGAGCGAACGGGGAACAGCCCAAACCAUCCAUGUUACGGCAUGGGUGGGGUUGUAGGACUACGCCGUUGCAUGAAGACAUCAGAGAAGAACUUUCUGGAAAGAAAGACCAUAGAGCAUGACAGUUGCGUAUUCGAAUGUUGUCGAAGCAUAGUAGUAUCCUGAGUAGCGCGGAGCACGAGGAAUUCUGCGUGAAUCUGCCGGGACCAUCCGGUAAGGCUAAAUACUCCCGAGAGACCGAUAGCGAACCAGUACUGUGAAGGAAAGGUGAAAAGCACUUCGAACAGAAGAGUGAAAUAGUUCCUGAAACCAUGUGCCUACAAGCGGUCGGAGCACCUUUUGGUGUGACGGCGUGCCUUUUGCAUAAUGAACCUACGAGUUACUUUUUCCGGCGAGGUUAAGGAUUUCAGAUCUGCAGCCGAAGCGAAAGCGAGUCUGAACAGGGCGUAUAGUCGGAAGGAGUAGACGCGAAACCAAGUGAUCUACCCUUGGGCAGGUUGAAGGAUGGGUAACACCAUCUGGAGGACCGAACCAAUAAGCGUUGAAAAGCUUCUGGAUGACCUGAGGGUGGGGGUGAAAGGCUAAUCAAACUUGGAGAUAGCUCGUACUCCCCGAAAUGCAUUUAGGUGCAGCCUUGCGGGUUACUGAUGUGAGGUAGAGCGACUGAUAAGAUGCGAGGGCUUCACCGCCUAUCAAGUCUUGACAAACUCCGAAUGCGCAUCAGUUUUACCUCAGGAGUGAGGGCAUGGGUGCUAAGGUCCGUGCCCGAGAGGAGAAGAAUCCGGACCACCUGCUAAGGUCCCGAAAUGACAGCUAAGUUAAACUAACGAAGUCUGACUGCUAAGACAGCUAGGAUGUUGGCUUGGAAGCAGCCAUUCAUUUAAAGAGUGCGUAACAGCUCACUAGUCGAGGAGUCGGGCGUGGAUAAUAAUCGGGUAUUAAGUUGUCUACCGAAGCAGUGGGAUCAUUGAAAUGAUCGGUAGGGGAGCAUUCCAGUCAGCGUCGAAGGCGUACCGCGAGGUAUUCUGGAGCGUCUGGAAAAGCAAAUGUAGGUAUAAGUAACGAUAAAGGGGGCGGGAAACCCCCUCGCCGAAAGACUAAGGUUUCCUGAUCAACGCUAAUCGGAUCAGGGUAAGUCGGGUCCUAAGGCUCAGCCGAACGGCGAGGCCGAUGGCAGAACCGGUUAAUAUUCCGGUACUACCUGUGGGAGUGACGUGGAGACGGAGUCGUGACAGCGCCGCGGACUGACGGAAUAGUCCGUUGAAGGGUGUAGAUGCUGAUUGUUCCAGGCAAAUCCGGAGCAAGAGUCGAACCUGAUAGUAUGGAGCGUUCUUAGAACAAUCCAAUAGUGCGUGUAAUCAUACUUCCAAGAAAAUCCGCUAAACUUAAUCCUGCAGGUACCCGUACCGCAAACGGACACACGUAGUCGGGUUGAAUAUACUAAGGCGCUUGAGUGAUUCACGGUUAAGGAACUAGGCAAACUGACCCUGUAACUUCGGGAUAAAGGGUCCCUACCCUUUUAUGGGAGGGCGCAGAGAAUCGGUCCAGGCAACUGUUUAACAAAAACACAGGGCUGUGCCAAAUCGAAAGAUCCAGUAUACAGCCUGACACCUGCCCGGUGCUGGAAGGUUAAGAGGAGAUGUCAUCGAUAAGAGAAGCGUUGAAUUGAAGCCCCAGUAAACGGCGGCCGUAACUAUAACGGUCCUAAGGUAGCGAAAUUCCUUGUCGGGU